rnacentral:lncRNA from 1 species
AUUUAUACAGAUUGCACAAAUAGGAUGAUUCUCAUAGCCUGACUUUGGUUACAUACCUGGAAAUAGCUUAAAUAAGACCAAAUAAAAGUCAAUAAUUCAGCUGAAAAAUAAUGAGCAGUAACAGGCAGCCAAGCACACAGCCAAAUCAGAAACUUUCAUUUCAACAACGUAGAAUUAAUCUUCAAAACCAGAAUUUAAAGCUAGAAGAAACCUAGCAUUUACCUACAGAAACCUCUUUCAAAGCAUGUUUUUGACUUGUAAAGAAAUAGUAGAUUUUUGAUAUUUUUCAAAGCUAUUUUUGAGACUGAAAUUUCACGGAAGGCCAAAGAACCUUUUAGAGAGAAUUUUUGACUGAUCUCAU